ensembl:snRNA U6 U6 spliceosomal RNA
GUACUCACUUUGCAGGACCUAUAUUAAAAUCAGAACAAUACAGAGAAUAUUAGCAUGACGCCUGCAUGAGAAUGACCUACAAAUUAGUGAAGCAUUCCUUAUAAGA